rnacentral:rRNA from 1 species
UACGUAGGGGGCAAGCGUUGUCCGGAUUUAUUGGGCGUAAAGAGCGUGUAGGCGGCUAGAUAGGUCCGUUGUGAAAACUCGAGGCUCAACCUCGAGACGCCGGUGGAAACCAUCUAGCUAGAGUCCGGAAGAGGAGAGUGGAAUUCCUGGUGUAGCGGUGAAAUGCGCAGAUAUCAGGAAGAACACCCGUGGCGAGGGCGGCUCUCUGGUACGUGACUGACGCUGAGACGCGAAAGCGUGGGGAGCGAACAGG